GCAUCGGUGGUCCAGUGGUAGGAUAAUUGCCUUCCAUUCGUAGCGAUAGCAAUUGGCACGGGUUCGAUUCCCGUCCGAUGCA